GGGCGUAAAGCGCGCGUAGGUGGUUUAUUAAGUUGGAUGUGAAAUCCCCGGGCUCAACCUGGGAACUGCAUCCAAAACUGAUUCACUAGAGUACGAUAGAGGGAGGUAGAAUUCACAGUGUAGCGGUGAAAUGCGUAGAUAUUAUGAAGAAUACCAGUGGCGAAGGCGGCCUCCUGGAUCUGUACUGACACUGAGGUGCGAAAGCGUGGGUAGCGAACAGGAUUAGAUACCCUGGUAGUCCACGCCGUAAACGAUGACAACUAGCUGUUGGGAGACAAUGUCUUUCAGUGGCGCAGCUAACGUUUUAAGUUGUCCGCCUGGGGAGUACGGCCGCAAGGCUAAAACUCAAAUGAAUUGACGGGGGCCCGCACAAGCGGUGGAGCAUGUGGUUUAAUUCGAAGCAACGCGAAGAACCUUACCUACUCUUGACAUCCAGAGAAUUUAGCAGAGAUGCUUUAGUGCCUUCGGGAACUCUGAGACAGGUGCUGCAUGGCU
rnacentral:rRNA from 1 species